rnacentral:rRNA from 1 species
GGCGAACGCUGGCGGCGUGCCUAAUACAUGCAAGUCGAGCGCAGGAAAUCGACGGAACCCUUCGGGGGGAAGUCGAUGGAAUGAGCGGCGGACGGGUGAGUAACACGUAAAGAACCUGCCCUCAGGUCUGGGAUAACCACGAGAAAUCGGGGCUAAUACCGGAUGGGUCAUCGGACCGCAUGGUCCGAGGAUGGAAGGCGCUUCGGCGUCGCCUGGGGAUGGCUUUGCGGUGCAUUAGCUAGUUGGUGGGGUAAUGGCCCACCAAGGCGACGAUGCAUAGCCGAACUGAGAGGGUGAUCGGCCACACUGGGACUGAGACACGGCCCAGACUCCUACGGGAGGCAGCAGUAGGGAAUCUUCCACAAUGGACGAAAGUCUGAUGGAGCAACGCCGCGUGAACGAUGAAGGCCUUCGGGUCGUAAAGUUCUGUUGUAAGGGAAGAACAAGUGCCGCAGGCAAUGGCGGCACCUUGACGGUACCUUGCGAGAAAGCCACGGCUAACUACGUGCCAGCCGCCGCCGUAAAAC